rnacentral:rRNA from 1 species
AUGAACGCUGGCGGCGUGCCUAAUACAUGCAAGUCGAGCGAACGGACGAGAAGCUUGCUUCUCUGAUGUUAGCGGCGGACGGGUGAGUAACACGUGGAUAACCUACCUAUAAGACUGGGAUAACUUCGGGAAACCGGAGCUAAUACCGGAUAAUAUUUUGAACCGCAUGGUUCAAAAGUGAAAGACGGUCUUGCUGUCACUUAUAGAUGGAUCCGCGCUGCAUUAGCUAGUUGGUAAGGUAACGGCUUACCAAGGCAACGAUGCAUAGCCGACCUGAGAGGGUGAUCGGCCACACUGGAACUGAGACACGGUCCAGACUCCUAUGGGAGGCAGCAGUAGGGAAUCUUCCGCAAUGGGCGAAAGCCUGACGGAGCAACGCCGCGUGAGUGAUGAAGGUCUUCGGAUCGUAAAACUCUGUUAUUAGGGAAGAACAUAUGUGUAAGUAACUGUGCACAUCUUGACGGUACCUAAUCAGAAAGCCACGGCUAACUACGUG